UACGAAGGGGGCUAGCGUUGUUCGGAAUUACUGGGCGUAAAGCGCACGUAGGCGGAUAUUUAAGUCAGGGGUGAAAUCCCAGAGCUCAACUCUGGAACUGCCUUUGAUACUGGGUAUCUUGAGUAUGGAAGAGGUAAGUGGAAUUGCGAGUGUAGAGGUGAAAUUCGUAGAUAUUCGCAGGAACACCAGUGGCGAAGGCGGCUUACUGGUCCAUUACUGACGCUGGAGGUGCGAAAGCGUGGGGAGCAAACAGGG
rnacentral:rRNA from 1 species